rnacentral:lncRNA from 1 species
UCCAGCAAAACAAAGGCGUUCCACAAGGGGCAAAAAUCCUUGUCGUGGCUAAAGUUUCCCUAGCUGUUGGAAGAAGCCGGCUCACAGGGACUCAAACAGUUCCACUUCCUUUGUUAGGAGGCUGAGGACCAGGGCCAAGCUGGGAAAUUAAAGACUAAGUUCAUUAAGUCAACAGACCCCCAAAGGAGGGCCAAGACUCCCUGCGGGGAACCAGGUGGAAGAGAGUGCAAAGCUGUCUCCAGAAAGCAAAGAGGCGGUCCUUGGAGCCAGAGGACCGGCUUCCUUUUCCAGCGGCUUGUCCCUAUGUCUGAGUUCUUUCCCAUAUUCAUAGUAGAAGACGGGCCCAGUUCCG